GGAAAGAGCCCAAACCGGAAACUUGUUUCCGGGGUUGUGGACAUAACAUAAAAGUGGAGGCUAUUGUAACUGAAGAGAACUGGAAAGUUCCACCGUAGAAGGUAAUAGUCCUGUAAGUGAAACGAGAAGACCACGAGUUAUGAUCCAGAGUACCACGAGACACGUGAAACCUUGUGGGAAGCAGGGAGGACCACCUCCCAAGGCUAAAUACUACCUGAUGACCGAUAGUGAAGCAGUACCGUGAGGGAAAGGUGAAAAGAACCCCGGGAGGGGAGUGAAAUAGAACCUGAAACCGUGUGCCUACAACCGCUCAGAGCCCCUUAUGAGGGUGAUGAGGUGCUUUUUGUAGAACGAGCCAACGAGUUACGGUAUGUAGCAAGGUUAAGUACUUAAGGUACGGAGCCGAAGGGAAACCGAGUCUGAAUAGGGCGACUAGUUGCAUGCCGUAGACCCGAAACCGGGUGACCUAUCCAUGGCCAGGUUGAAGCGAGGGUAAAACCUCGUGGAGGACCGAACCACGUUGCUGUUGAAAAAGCAUGGGAUGAGCUGUGGAUAGCGGAGAAAUUCCAAUCGAACCCGGAGAUAGCUGGUUCUCUCCGAAAUAGCUUUAGGGCUAGCGUCGAGUAUGAGUAGUGGAGGUAGAGCACUGAAUGGGCUAGGGGGCAUAGCGCUUACCGAACCUUAUCAAACUCCGAAUGCCACAUACUUUGAGCUCGGCAGUCAGACUACGAAUGAUAAGAUCCGUGGUCAAAAGGGAAACAGCCCAGAUCGUCAGCUAAGGUCCCAAAGUGUAAGUUAAGUGGGAAAGGAUGUGAGAUUUCUAAGACAACUAGGAUGUUGGCUUAGAAGCAGCCAUUCAUUAAAAGAGUGCGUAAUAGCUCACUAGGCGAGAGAUCUUGCGCCGAAAAUGUAACGGGGCUAAACUUACCACCGAAGCUACGGGCUUGAACUUAUGUUCAAGCGGUAGGAGAGCGUCGUAACCGGGCUGAAGUCGUACCGUAAGGAGCGGUGGACUGGUUACGAGUGAGAAUGUUGGCAUCAGUAGCGAGAUGUGGGUGAGAAUCCCACAGGCCGAAAACCUAAGGUUUCCUCAGGAAGGUUCGUCCGCUGAGGGUUAGUCGGGACCUAAGCCGAGGCCGAAAGGCGUAGGUGAUGGACAACUGGUUGAUAUUCCAGUACCACUAC
rnacentral:rRNA from 1 species